CCCCCUUGACCUAUUGGUUGACCAAGGAUUGAUUAAUGCUUCUACAUCAAAAGGUCUGGGGUUCGAAUCCCAGGUAUUGCGAUUUAUUAACAAAUUUGCAGAUUAAUGGAAGCAAGUGUGCAAGAGAUCUCCAGCGAUGUACAAUUAUAGCCGUUCGCCAGGAUUCUACGCAGAGAAUGAAGUGUCGCCAGAUUGUGGAUCAUUGAAGGUAUUCAUCAAUAUUACGAAGAAGGAAGUGUAGUCUGUCGUGAAUCUAGUAAGGGUCGGAAGGAAUUGUCAGUUGUAAAAUCGUCUAUGUAACAGUUCUCAUAAUUUGCAAUUAAUAAUAAAU
rnacentral:lncRNA from 1 species